rnacentral:rRNA from 1 species
UACGUAGGGUGCGAGCGUUGUCCGGAAUUACUGGGCGUAAAGAGCUUGUAGGUGGUUUGUCGCGUUGUUCGUGAAAUCUCACGGCUUAACUGUGAGCGUGCGGGCGAUACGGGCAGACUAGAGUACUGCAGGGGAGACUGGAAUUCCUGGUGUAGCGGUGGAAUGCGCAGAUAUCAGGAGGAACACCGGUGGCGAAGGCGGGUCUCUGGGCCGAUACUGACGCUGAGGAGCGAAAGCGUGGGGGAGCGAACAGG